UUCCCCUUCACUUGUGCCGGGCCGUUCCUCUCCGAGCCAUCCCCGACGCCAAGUCGUGCCCUAACCGCCGGCCACGGCGGGUUUUCUUCCUCCCCUUCCACUUCUUCUUCUUCUCCUCUGCUUGAGCCGGAUCUUUCCUCUUCCUCCUUCCUCGCGAUGCCCAUCUCCACUGCCAGCACUGCCGACGCACGGAGCAUUGCCGCCGGCUACGCACGGAGCACUGCCGCACACCCUGGUGCCCUAGCAUCUCCGCCGACGCCACUGACUCCUCUCGGCCGCUUCUCUGUGCCGGCACCCGAACCCCAGCGUCGACCCCCUUUCUCUGUGCCUUGGCAUUUCCGCCGACGCCGAGCAGCGCCGGCCUUCUUCUCCUAGCCGGCACUAAAGUCGCCGUUGUGCCCUAGAUCUUUGCCGCCGGUCACCGCGAGCCCUAGCUGGCCAUCGGCGCCCAUUGUCCCUUUUGCUGUGGAGAUCCCCACGUCGCCGUCGCUUGACCUAGCCGACCAUCAAGAAGCCUGCUGCCAUCGUCGACGAAGCUUCAACCACCUACUCGAGGUGCUGUUCCACCGCCAAUAUUUUUGGUCUUUCUGAUCAGUUGAGGAUCAACAGAAGGUUCUGGGUAUAAGAUCAACCCUUUGAUUUACAGCAGCGACCAUCCUAUGUUGUGAGCCAAUAGAGAAGUCUUCGAAUUGGACUUUGACGCGAGACGAGUAUCUCGAUUGUCGGAUUGGACCAUUUUGAUUGGAGGCGGG